GGGUUAAAAUUAAUAAUUAGUGUUGAUUUAAUAAAAGAAAUUUUAAUAUUAAAAUAUUUAAUGGGGGUUAAAGUAUUUUUAAUAGAAAAAAUUUGAAAUUUUAUAGUUAAUAAGUAUUGUGAAAGAAAUUUGAAAUAAAUUUAAAAUAAAUUUUUUUAAAAGUAAAUUUAAUUUGUUGUAUCUUGUGUAUCAGAGUUUAUUAAAAAUUUUUUAAAUUUUAAAUUUCUCGAAUUUAAAAGAGUUAAUUAAUUAUUAAAUUUAUUGUUUCAUAAAUAUUUUAAAUAAUUAAUUGGAAAUGAAAUGUUAUUCGUUUUUAAAUAUAUCUAGUUUUUUAAGAAAAAAAUUUAAUUUUUAAUUAAUUUUUAAAAUUAAUUAAUUAAAAUUAAUUAAUUUUAAAAAUUAGUUUAAUAUUUUAAGGGAUAAGCUUUAAAUUAAAUUUUUAUAAUUUAUUUAUUAUAAAUUUGAAAAUUUUAUAAUUUAUAUUGUUAAUAAAUUUUAAUUUAUUAUAAAUAAUUUCAUUGAAUUUUAAGAUUUAAUUAAUAAUUUAAUAUUUUAUUAAAAAAUAUUUUAUAAUAAGUUAUAUUUAGUUAUAAUGAUAAAAUUAGUAUAUAAUAUAAUUAAAAUAAUAAAAUUUAGGUUUAUGAUAAUUAUUUUAAAGGAAUUCGACAAAAUUUUAUAUUCACCUGUUUAUCAAAAACAUGUCUUUUUGAAAAUAAUUUAAAGUCUAAUCUGCCCACUGAUUUUUAAUUAAAGGGCUGCAGUAUAUUGACUGUACAAAGGUAGCAUAAUCAAUAGUCUCUUAAUUGGUGACUUGUAUGAAAGAUUGGAUGAAAUAUAAAUUGUCUCUAAUGUAUAUAUUUGAAUUUAAUUUUUUAUUUAAAAAGUUAAAAUAAUUUAAAAAGACGAGAAGACCCUAUAGAGUUUUAUAUUUAUUUAAUUUUAGGUUAUAAUUUAAUUUGGUUUAAAUUUAAAUUUAAUUAAUUAUUUUGUUGGGGUGAUAGAAAAAUAGAUAAAACUUUUUUUUAAUUUAAAUCAUUAAUUUAUGAAUUAUUGAUCCAAUUAUUAUUGAUUAUAAGAAAAAAUUACCUUAGGGAUAACAGCGUAAUUUUUUUUUUUAGUACUUAUAAGAAAAAGAGUUUGCGACCUCGAUGUUGGAUUAAGAUAAAAUUUAAAUGCAAAAGUUUAAAAUUUUUGAUCUGUUCGAUCAUUAAAAUCUUACAUGAUCUGAGUUCAAACCGGUGUAAGCCAGGUUGGUUUCUAUCUUUUAAUAAAUUUUAAUAUUUUAGUACGAAAGGAUUAAAUAUUAUAAUUAAAUUAAUUAUUUUUGAAUAAUAUUAAUAAUUUAAUAUAUUUAUAACUAUUUUGGCAGAAAAAUGUGA
rnacentral:rRNA from 1 species